rnacentral:tRNA from 2 species
AAAGAAUUAGUUAAUUUAUAACAUUAAUAUGUCAUAUUAAAAUUAUUUAUAUAUAAAUAUUCUUUU